CUACGGGUUGCACCAGUGGGGAAUAUUGCGCAAUGGACGCAAGUCUGACGCAGCAACGCCGCGUGGAUGAUGAAGGUCUUCGGAUCGUAAAGUCCUUUAGAUGGUGAAGAACCUACGGAAGAGUGGAAUGCUUCCGUACUGACGGUAGCCAUAGAAUAAGCUCCGGCUAAAUCCGUGCCAGCAGCCGCGGUAAUACGGGUGGAGCAAGCGUUGUCCGGAAUCAUUGGGCGUAAAGGGUGCGUAGGCGGCUUCUUAAGUCUACAUUGUAAGUUCAGGGCUCAACCCUGAAAUUGGGUGGAAACUGGGGAGCUGGAGUACUGUAGGGGAAAGCGGAAUGUCCGGUGUAGAGGUGAAAUUCGUAGAUAUCGGAUGGAACACCAAAAGCGAAGGCAGCUUUCUGGGCAGUAACUGACGCUGAGGCACGAAAGCGUGGGGAGCAAACAGGAUUAGAUACCCUGGUAGUC
rnacentral:rRNA from 1 species